ensembl:lncRNA
GUAAGUAAAAUGUUUUUCUGGGUUCUUUGAGUUGCUCUAGCAAGUUAAUAGAACUCGAGGAGGGGGUCGUUGGAACCUCUAAUCUAUAGCUGGUAGGUCAGAAGCCCAGGUGACAAGCUGGCCUUGAGCACUUGGCGUCUGAAGUUGGGGUGGGGGUGGGGAUGCUGUGAGGGGGGCAGUUUUGUAGGACUGAGCCCUUAACUUGUGGGAUCUGACGAUCUCUAGGUAGAUAGUGUCAGAAUUGAGUUGAAUUGUAGGACACCCAGCUGGUGUCCGAGAAUUGCUUGGUGUGUUGAAAAACCUCUACACGUAAUUGUGUGCAGAAUUGUGUAAUUGGCGUCAGAGAAGUGGGAUUUGCUAGAAUGGCCUUGGCUUGCAGAAGCUUGUGAUUUGGGAGGAAAUAAGAUGAAAGGGUGAGGAGGGAGGGACCUUUGGUUCCUGGGUGGCCGGGUUGCCACGUGGUCACCCUUGGUAAGGAGCAGCAGCUGUGCUUCUAUCAGUUACUAAAGAUAACAAUUACCAGUGGAAUUUAGGGAUUGAUCCAGCUCCAAGGGAGGUAGUUCUCUCAUGUAUAAGGAAAUGCAAACUAAUAAGAAAAAGAGGAAAUAUACAAUCCCUUAGUUGUUGUUCUGUAAUAGCUAAAAGGAAAUUAAGUGAGUGCUGGGUAGGACCUUGAUUCUAGAUCAAACUCAGAUUUCAGUGAGUCUGAGCUUGGGCCACUAGCAUCAGAGCUGCUGCCCUAGGUAAAAAUUGUGCAGGGACAACAGAGCCUCUAAGUCCUCUGGUCACCAAGAAGGACUGUCUCUGGAACCGUGUGAGGAACUGCUGGAUUCUGUUGUCUCUUGGACAGUCCCCUAUAAUGAGCCCUCACCUGAUUGACAAUGAGCUGCUUGGUUUGUGGACAUCAGUUCCAGGGUGAAUGGACAAUAUCCUGUUGGGAAGGCCACCAUUCUGAAAGAAGAAGUGAUCACAGGACCAGGGCUGCAACUACAAAGGCUGGAGACAGGGAUGAUUCCUAAGCAAGGAACUGUAACCUUGUUUUUAACCUUUAUGUCACAAUUCCUGAGACCCCGAUGGGGCAGGAUAUGCCUUUACUCCAUCUGGCAAAAUUGGGGCUAACAGUGAAUGCAGCUAUAUUGCCUGGUGGUAAAGAGAGUCCACUAGUUCUGCAGCUUGUAACCUUACCCUAUAUGAAUGAGAGUGGGUCGAGGGAGAGGCAUUUGCUUGACUAUUAUUGCUGCCUGCAAUUUAGACCAACGCUGUGGCCCAACCUAAUGUCCCUUCCAAAGGUGGAAAAGUUUGGGUAUAAAUGGAGAGAAGAAAAAAUAGUAGCUGUGGGUAAAGGAAUGAAUAAAUUGUUUAUGUAAUGAGGAAAAUUACAAUAUUACAUUAACACCUUGAAAGAGGUUCAGAGGAAGAGAUGAUAUUGUCUCUUAGGUCAGUUUUACCAGAUGCUUGAAAGGGUGAAGCCAUAUAUUGCUGACACCACUCCUGCUUUUGGUACAAGAUUGAAUGGAAGCCUACAAACCUGAGUGGCUUCCCCUGGGAGAUAACUUCAUGUGAUAUGGUAAUGGACUGGAUAGUUACUAAUGACUGAAUGAGAUUCUAGUAAUGUGCCAGUAUCUUUUAAGAUUAUUUUGCUAUGAGGGAUCCCUGUUUGAGGAACAGGGGAUGGAGUGUGAUUGUGUUUCAUAAUCGGAAACACAUAUUUGAUCUUAGUCCCCUUUUCUGAUACAGCUCCUAAACUCUGGGAAUUAACUGUGAUGAGAACAAUAAAGGUGUCUCUCGUUGUGUUAAUGUAGUGAAUUUAGGAAAGCAUCUGAAGAUGAAGGUUAGAUGCCAGGGGAACCAACCUUGUGAUUAGAGGGUUGGGACUUUUAGCCUCACCCAAGACCUCUGGGAAGGGGAGCGGAGCUGGAGAUUGAAUUCAGUCACCAAAGGUCAAUAAUUUAAUUGACAUGCCAAUGUAAUGAAACCUCCAUAAAAGACCAAAAGGACAGAGUUCGGAGAGCUUCCAGGUUCAUGAACACAUGGCGGUUUAGGGAGAGUGGUGUGUUUGGAGAGGGUGUGGGAGCUCCUGGCCAUUUCUUCAUAGCUUGCCCUAUGCAUCUCUUCCAUCUGGCUGUUCUGAGUUAUAUCCUCUUAUAAUAAACCAGUAAACUGGUAAGUAAAAUGUUUUUCUGAGCUGCUCCAGCAAAUUAAACUCAAGGAAGGGGUUGUUGGAACCUCUGAUCUGUAAUUGGUCAGUCAGAAGCCCUGGUGACAAUCUGGACUUGUGAUUGGCUUCUGAAGUGGCAGGGGUCGGGAGGCAGUCUUGUAGGACUGAACCCUUAACCUGUGGGAUCUGAUGCUUUCUCGAGGCGGAUGGUGUCAGAAUUGAGUUGAAUGUCGGAUGCCCAGCUGGUCUCCAAGAAUUGCUUGAUGUGGGGAAAAUUUUCCACAUGUUGGAAUUGGGUACAGAAUUAUAAGCCCUAACUCCAAUUCACUUUUUAAAAUACUUUUUAAAGUUUUUUGAGCACUUUUAAAUUUACAAAAAAAAAAAUUGCAACUAUGGUACGGAGAGUUCUCUUAAAACCCGUACCCAGUUUCCCUGUAAUUAACAACCAACAUUAGCAAUUGUAUAUUUCUAACAAUUGAUUAGCCAAUAUUGUAUACAUUAUUAACUAAAGUGCAUACUUUCUUCAGAUUUUUAUACUUUUUACCUAAUGCUGUUUUUUUUUGUUCUUUGAUCCCACUCAGGAUACCACAUUACAUUUAGUUGUCAUGUCCCCUUAGACUCCUCUUGACUUUUGACCGUUCCUUAGACUUUCCCUGUGUUUGAUCUUGACAAUUUGGAGGAGUGCUGAUCAGGUAAUUUUUAGAAUAUCCUUCAAUUAGGAUUUCUAUGAUAAUUUUCCUCAUGAUGACUGGCCUUAUAAGUUCUAGGGAGGAAGACCACAGAAGUGAAAAAAGUAUAAGUGGUAAAAAUUACUUUAAAAAACAACAAUUUAAAGCCUCUGGAAAUUGAUCUAAGAGCUUACAGCAAAUGAAAUAACAUUUCUUGAAGAGAAUAUGCUCAAACUCAGUAAAAACAGUAACGGCAUUUCAUCACGUCAUCUCAAGGGUGCAUGAUAUCAACAUGACGUAUCACUGUUGAUGUUAACCUUGAUCACCAAUCCAAUAUUACUUUUUGAGAAUGUAUCUCAGUGUGAGUCUUUUUGUAUUUAUCCUGCUUGGACUUUGUUGAGCUUCUUGGAUGUAUAGAUUAAAGUUUGUCAUCAAAUUUUGGAAGCCUUCAGUCAUUAUUUCUUUGAACAUAUUUUUUUACUCCUUUUGUUCCCUCCUGGA